UACAGAGGUGGCAAGCGUUGUUCGGAAUUACUGGGCGUAAAGGGCGCGUAGGCGGUCUUCUAAGUCUUGUGUGAAAUCCCUCGGCUCAACUGAGGAACUGCACGGGAUACUGGAAGACUUGAGUUCGGGAGAGGGAAGCGGAAUUCCUGGUGUAGCGGUGAAAUGCGCAGAUAUCAGGAGGAACACCAAUUGCGAAGGCAGCUCGCUGGGACGUUACUGACGCUGAGACGCGAAAGCGUGGGGAGCAAACAGG
rnacentral:rRNA from 1 species